GGGUUUAGGAGGAUAAGCAGGGACCUCCGGCCCAGUACGUCAUUCAGAUUUCCCAUAUUUGUAAGUGUUUUAACUCUACGGCCAACCAAAGCAAAUCUUCCAGGGUUUUAACAUCGUUGACCCUAUGUAUCCAUUGUGUCACGGUUGAUAUAUUAGUUUAUUUCCAUAUAGUGGGAAUUAGGGCAUUUGCCUGUCCUAGAAUGUUCCAUCGAAGCUGCUGCUGGUGUAUGUUUGUGAGGGAGUGAGUCAAACCUAGUAGGGCUUGAGAGGUUGUUAGUGUAGGCAUACCCAGGAAAAGAUUUAGUUUUUUUAAUAACCUCAGUAGUUUAGGUCCAAUAGGGGUAUAUUGUAGCACACUGCCACCAUAAAUAAUACAGUGUACCCUCGACUCCAAUACAUCUCCAGCAUAUCUCACUGACCCCUGAUAUCUUUUUUUAUUAGUUUUCAUGUGUCAUCGGGCCAGUUGAGGACAUCAUAAUUCUGGUAAAAAUAUAUGCCUCGCAGAAACCUCAACUCUCUCGAUCUCCAGCACUUCUCUACUAAACUCCAAACACUCCUUUUACCCAUCUCAAAUCACAACUGCCCUUACUCUGCAAC